CAGUCGCCACGGUAAUACGAAGGGGGCUAGCGUUGUUCGGAUUUACUGGGCGUAAAGCGCACGUAGGCGGCUUCUUAAGUCGGAUGUGAAAUCCCUGAGCUUAACUUAGGAAUUGCAUUCGAUACUGGGAAGCUAGAGUAUGGGAGAGGAUGGUAGAAUUCCAGGUGUAGCGGUGAAAUGCGUAGAGAUCUGGAGGAAUACCGAUGGCGAAGGCAGCCAUCUGGCCUAAUACUGACGCUGAGGUACGAAAGCAUGGGGAGCAAACAGGAUUAGAUACCCCUGUAGUCCCUGUCUCUUAUAC
rnacentral:rRNA from 1 species